rnacentral:lncRNA from 8 species
GUAGUUAGAUUGUGUGGGCUAUUUACAGAUGGACUAUGUACAGCUGCAGCGAUCGGUUAGUCUCCUUGCUUUGCUCGCACACGCCUUUUCAGUUCUGCUCACAAAUUUUCUACAGGAUGAGGUCAGGGCUUUGUGGUCAGGGCUUUGUGAUGGCCACUCCAAUACCUUGACUUUGUUGUCUUUAAGCCAUUUUGACACAACUUUGGAACUAUGCUUGGGGUCAUUGUCCAUUUGGAAGACCCAUUUGCGACCGAGCUUUAACUUCCUGACUGAUGUCUUGAGAUGUUACUUCAAUAUAUCCACAUCAUUUUCAAUUCCUCAUGAUGCCAUCUAUUUUGUGAAGUGCACCAGUCCCUCCUGCACCAAAGCACCCCCACAACAUGAUGCUGCCACCCCCGUGCUUCACGGUUGGGAUGGUGUUCUUCGGCUUGCAGGUCUCCCCCUUUUUCCUCUAAACAUAACGAUGGUCAUUAUGGCCAAAACAGUUCUAUUUUUGUUUCAUCAGGCCAGAGGACUUUUCUCCAAAAAGUAUGAUCUUUGUCCCCAUGUGCAUUUGCAAACCAUAGUCUGGCUUUUUUUAUGGCGUUUUUGGAGCAGUGACUUCUUCCUUGCUGAGCGGCCUUUCAGGUUAUGUCGAUAUAGGACUCGUUUUACUGUGGAUAUAGAUACUUUUGUACCUGUUUCCUCCAGCAUCUUCACAAGGUCCUUUGCUGUUGUUCUGGGAUUGAUUUGCACUUUUCGCACCAAAGUACGUUCAUCUCUAGGAGACAGAACGCGUCUCCUUCCUGAGCGGUAUGACGGCUUUCGUGGUCCCAUGGUGUUUAUACUUGUGUACUAUUGUUUGUACAGAUGAACGUGGUACCUUCAGGCAUUUGGAAAUUGCUCCCAAGUAUGGAUCAGACUUGUGGAGGUCUACAAUAAUUUUUUCUGAGUUCUUGGCUGAUUUCUUUAGAUUUUCCCAUGAUGUCAAGCAAAGAGGUACUGAGUUUGAAGGUAGGCCUUGAAAUACAUCCACAGGCACACCUCCAAUUG